rnacentral:rRNA from 1 species
CGAUCUCAAAUCAAGUAAAACU